rnacentral:rRNA from 1 species
GCGCACCAGGCGCGAACCUUCGCAAUGCGGGAAACCGCGACGAGGGACUCCCAGUGCCUACGCUCAGCGUAGGCUGUUCCCGAGCCUAGAAAGCUCGGGGAGUAAGGGCUGGGUAAGACGGGUGCCAGCCGCCGCGGUAAUACCCGCAGCCCGAGUGGUGGCCACUAUUAUUGGGCCUAAAGCGUCCGUAGCCGGCCCGGUAAAUGCCUGGGUAAAUCGUGAGGCCUAACCUCACGAAUUCCGGGUAGACUGCCGGGCUAGGGGACCGGAGGAGGGAGAGGGUACUCCAGGGGUAGGGUGAAAUCCUGUAAUCCCUGGAGGACCACCGGUGGCGAAGGCGCUCUCCCAGGACGGGUCCGACGGUGAGGGACGAAAGCCAGGGGAGCGAACCGGAUUAGAUACCCGGGUAGU